rnacentral:lncRNA from 1 species
AAAAAGGCGUUUAAAACCGCCUCUACCGACCGCCGCUACAAAUUCUGACCUACCCGGCGGUAUGUAGCGGCGGUUUAAACCACCGUUACAUAUUAUAUGAAAAAAUUUCGGGUGAGAAAAGAAGCGUUUAAAACCGCCGCUACCGACCGCCGCAAACUAUUUGACCUACCCCGGCGGUCGUCAAAACCGCCGCUACAAUGUAGGGACGGUGGUAUUCACGGCGUUCUACCGGCGGUUAUAAAACCGCCGCUAAGUUUUGUAGGGGCGGUUUAAACCGCCGGUAAAGGUCAAGAAAACCGCCGCCAAAAGUCUCUUUUCCUGUAGUGCUUGGGAUGCAUUAUAAAGAAGCUGAUGCUUCUUCUUCUUUCUCCUUCAGCCCGAGCACACACCCACGCACGCAUGGAGUAGAGAGAGAAACACCUCUACCUCUCUCUAGAUAUCUCUCUCAUCUCUCUAAAUCUCUCUCUAAAAAUUGGAGGGUUGGUGGAGAAGAUGCUUGCGAACGCGUUGGAGGCGACGGAUCGGGCUUUCGUGCGGCCGUUGGAGCGGUGUGUUGUCGUCGCGGCGUUCACAUUGAGGUAAACUUUUAGGAUUUGGCUUAAUCCUUAGUUUUAAGUGUUCUAAUAGCCUCUAAUGAGCAUUCUAAACAUGUUUGCUCUAUUUGAUUUGGAUUAUUUAGAGAUUAAUUCAUAUUAGGGCUCAAAAAUGCAAACUUUCAAAAUAUGAGGGUUUGAUCUCAUUUGACCCUUCAUAAACCUAAUUGCUAGGUAACGAAACGCGUUGGCGAAGACGGAUCGGCAAUCCGACGAGCCGUUACAAAGUUAUUAAAGAAACGGACGUUUAGGCUUCGGGUCCGCCGGGAGGGCCGAGGCGACGUCGUAAAAUCAUGGAAAUGGAUUUGAAGCACCGUGGCACGUAACCGAGGACCUAUAAUUUUCGGGGCUGCGAAGCGGAGCACGGUUGAGGCGCAGUUGCGAUAUCGGGCCGUGCCGGAUACGGGUGCCGCGGGAGGCCGAUUGCAAGUGUCGACAAGCAAUCGGAACGCGAGUUAAGGUGGGUUGUGCUUACCGAAGCGACUAGGUCGCCCUUUAUGUCUAAGAGAAAUGUAAAUUCAUAUUGAUGCAUAUAAAUGGUAGAUGAAUGCAAGAGUUAAAUGCUAGGCGAAUGCAUGUUAAUUGCUAUGCUACGACUACCAUAGAAUGCAUGAUGAACAUAUUAUAGAAAUGCUAAAUAAUGCAUGUGAGCAUAUGGUAAAGAAUGCAUGUUAAUGACAUAAUGUAAAUAUGCUUGUUAAUACAUGUAUGAUGACAUGAUGAGAAUAUGCUAGAUUACAUGCAUAUUAACAUGUUGUAGAUCAUGUGAGAAAGAUUAUGCAUGUUGGCAUCACAUAAUGCAUGCUAGAUAAAAUGUUGAUAGUUAUGGAACUCGACAUGGACAAUUAGGAUGUCAAAUAGAUCGAGUGGCACUUAACCUAGUGUAUUAAACAUAGGUUAGACAUGAAUGACAAAGAACCUAGUGUAUAAAACAUAGGUUGGACAUGAAUGACAAUGAACCUAGUGUUAUUGAGCAUAGGUCGAGUGGCAUCUAACCUAGUGCUAAAGAACAUAGGUUAUGGAUUGAACCUAGAGUUAAGUAAACCUAGGUUAUGUGAUAGAGACGUUGAACCUAGAAUCAGUUGGACCUAGGGUGAAAAGGACGUGGACCUAGAUAGGUCAAUACUAUAGGGUUUGAAACCAACCCUUGAGUUAUGAAAUGGAUUCCGGAAUCCCUAGUGACAUGGCCGCACAUGGAGCGGUAGAAAUUGUGGUUAAAGAGAUGGCAAGCGAAUCAUAACUGCAGGUAUGUGUGGUUCUCCUCGCCUGGCAGUGAUUCAACGGGUAUGUGUGGUUCUCCUCGCUCGGGAUGCCAUCAGAAUAAGCUGGAAUUGGGUAUG